GCACAGCGGUGAUUGACAGUCCUGAUCCACGGUAGCUGCUCUGCAGCAACAAGACCGGAGCCGAGCAAGGCAGGCAGGGGUGGGGGAACGGAGAGAGACAACAGACUGCAGCCAGCCGGACAGGCUCUGUGCUGUGUGCUGUGUAGUAAAUGGGAUUAAACCGCCCAGACAGCGCUUGGAAACGCUAGCAGCACUACUUAGUAAUAGUAGUAGUAGUGGAGAGUAGGGGGGGAGCUCCGCGCCGAGUUGUACCGCAUGUGCUCGCCCGUUUGGAAAACAGAAAAACAACCCAAACAAGAGGAAAACUAACGAUAGCUGCAGCCGCCAACCAUUCCCCGGUUCAGGGUCAGUAUUCGGGACUCGCGGUAGCACAGCGACCCAAACCGACCCCUGCCUCCCCUCUCACAUGCCUGCGUUGAUGUGGGAGAGAGAGAGACAGGGGAGCGGAGCCAGGGGACGUUUGAUUUACCCCUCUAAACUUGCAGAAACACUACAAGAAAAAUACAACACGAGUUUGUUUUAGUGGAAAAUAAAAGAAGAUAUCGCGCGUCAUGGAGAGCCAAGCGGGCGACCUCCAGAGCUGCGAGGACGUGCGGAAGAGCGGCUACCUCCGCAAGCAGAAGUCCAUGCACCGGCGCUACUUCGUGCUCCGCGCCGCUUCGGAGCGUGGCCCGACCCGCCUGGAGUACUACGAGAGCGAGAAGAAAUUCCGCGGCAAGGCCCCCGUCCCGAAGAAAGCGGUGGCGCUGGAGACGUGCUUCAACAUCAACAAGCGGGCCGACUCCAAGAACAAGCACAUGAUCGUGCUGUACACCCGGGCCGAGAGUUUCGCCAUCGCCGCGGAGAACGAGGCAGACCAGGACGAGUGGUACCAGGCCAUGGUGGACCUGCAGUGCAAAAGUAAAAUCCCCACUGACAAUGAGGACGGGGGGGACUAUGGCGUGCCCAAUCCCGGGCCUGCAUUCAAAGAGGUUUGGCAGGUGAAAGUGUGGCCCAAAGGCCUGGGUCAAGCCAAGAACUUGGUGGGCAUCUAUCGCCUUUGCCUGACUGACAAGACUGUCAAUUUUGUCAAGCUCAACUCUGAUGCCGCUGCCGUAGUGCUGCAGCUGAUGAACGUCCGACGCUGCGGCCAUUCAGAAAACUUUUUCUUCGUCGAGGUGGGGCGCUCAGCCGUGACGGGCCCGGGCGAGUUCUGGAUGCAGGUGGAUGAUUCGGUGGUGGCCCAGAACAUGCAUGAAACCUUGCUAGAGGCUAUGAAGGCACUGAGCGAGGAGUUCCGCCAACGCAGCAAGUCUCAGUCGAACUCUGGCCCUGGAGGAGGAGCUACUGCUUCUAACCCCAUCAGCGUUCCCUCACGCCGCCAUCACCCGAACCCUCCUCCCAGCCAGGUGGGCUUCACCCGUCGGCCCCGAACUGAGCCUCCGGGGGGAGUUAACAGUGGACCAGGGGUCAACAGUGCCAAUGCUUCUCCCACCCCACGGCAUAGCUUCCCGAGGUCUCCCACUGCUAACGAUGGGGGGAAAGGUGAGGAUGGAAUAGCAGGCAGCACAUCACUCCAAGGGCCGUGCUCCAGCCCAUCCACAAAUGGCUCUUGCUCGACCACCCCAAUCCUCAGGUCAAAGUCAGCCCGUUCAGCCGCCACCACAGCUGCUAAAACGUCUCUUGGGUUGAUGCGUUCCAUCUCCACACCAGCGCCGUCUCCAGCCCCAAGCCUCUCGUCUAGCUCUGGGCAUGGCUCUGAGUUUGGAGGCGUGACAUCUGCUAGUGCUGGUCCAGGGUCUGGUGCCUAUAGUCAUGUCCCCUCCCAUCGCGCCUCUGUCUCAGGCUCACCCAGUGACUAUGGCUCUUCAGACGAGUAUGGCUCUAGUCCUGGGGAUCACACGCUCCGAGCCUCCCUGAGCCUCCCUGGAAGCUCUGUUGGUAGCGCUGGCAGUCAGUCCCACGGUGAGGAGGGAGCCAACUACAUCCUGAUGGGCCAACGUAGUGGUGGUGGUAGCAGCAGUAACCAAGGGAGCUUGACAUGCGGAUCCUUGCCAGCACCAGGAACACCAGCCUCUGGCUCCCAGCCACAAACCAGGAGAGUGCUGCGCCGCUCCUCCAGCCGCGAAUGUGAUGCUGAACGUAGGCUGCUGAGCAAGCGGGCUUCAUUACCUCCUAUGGCCCUGGAGAGGCUGGCCCCACGUCAGCGCAGAGCUGAGGAGCCUGCAGAUGAAGAUUCAGCCGAUUAUGCCAUCAUGUCCAGAAGCACCAGCCGCGAGUCCUUUGCUUCCACCUCCUCUUCCACACAGAGGGAAUCUGUCGUGGGUGCUGGGUCGGCAGGGGGAGGUGGAGGGUACUUGGAUGUGGCGGGUGAGUUCAAAGGUGAAGUGGGUGGAGGAGCCAGCGGUAGUGUAGAUAUAGGUGUGGACACUGGGUACAUGUCCAUGCUGCCUGGCGUCACUCAGCCUCCAGUAUCCCUGUCCCAAUCAUUGGCUGUCUCUGUUCCAGACUCGGAUUCCAAACCUCCCGAUGACUACAUGGCCAUGACCCCGAACAACAGCGUGUCUCCACCUCAGCAGAUCCGGCCUCCACCAGCUUCUGAUGGCUAUAUGAUAAUGUCCCCCAAUAGCAGCUGCUCCCCUGAUCAGCGUGGAGGUCUCUCUGGAGGGGCUUGGGUGGGCAGUGAUAGUGCAGACAGCAGGGCAGGCAGUGACUAUAUGAACAUGUCUCCAAUCAGUGCGCGUUCUGUAAAUGGCAGCCCCCCACCUCCUGAGCACACCGGUCAUUUGGAGACCAGUUCUCAACAGCAAGCCCCCAAGAUGGUGUAUUCUUACUAUUCCCUUCCCCGCUCAUAUAAACAUAACCCCUCUGCUGGACACUUUGAGGAUGUGCCCGGACGAGGCAGAAGGCCCAAUGGGAGUUGUAGUAGGGGAAUGGGUGGAAGUAGGAAUAUGGAGGGGCGUCAAGAGCAAACACUAGCAGGCAAUUCAGUAGUUGGACGCCACCUAUCACUCUCCUCUUCCUCAUACUCCUCCAGCUCAGCCAGCAGCGAGAGCCUUGGGGAGAGUGAGGACCGAGCUACACAGGCAGCGAGCACCAUUGCUGGGGGAGCUCAGUCCAAAGAUGGGAGUAAGCUCCAGCAGAAACGAGGCUCUGGUGGAUUGUCCAAGCAGGGUAGCCAUAGUAGGAGCAGACCAGUGAGCCUGUUUGUUGAUGUAUCCAAGGCCAACACCCUUCCUAGGGUCCGUGAGAAUCCCCUGCCCCCAGAACCUAAGAGCCCUGGGGAGUAUGUAAGCAUUGAGUUUAAGGGGGAGAAGAGCAUCCAGACUGGGGUCGGAGGAGGGCGGGGCAGGGGUCUCAGGCAUGGCUUAUCACUGCCUCAUGGUUCAAGCAGCAAGUAUCCUCAACACAGGCCAACGUCUUGCUUAGGGAACUUUAUCCCCCUCUCCCGUAGCCCCUCUGCCCCCAUCACUCCCCCAGCCGCCUCGGAGUAUGUCAACAUGGACUUGGGCCCUUCCCCGUCCCCCUCACCCCUCUCCCUUACCCCACUGGUUUUCCCCUCUUUCCAUACCCCUCCCACGCCACCAACUCUUGCUCAUGCCCCCAAAGCCUGUGUUGAGGGAACUACUGGCCCUUGUGAAGAGGGGGCCGAAGGGACCGAGGCCCCACUUAGGAAAAGCAGAGAAAGUGCCCCAUCAGUGUCUGAGUCCCCGACAUCCUGUGGAGACUACACUGAGAUGGCCUUCCCUAGGUCAUCAUCUAGUGUCUCCCCCAAAGCCCUGUCCCCCACCAGGACUGAUCCUUCUGUUCCAGUGCUAUCACGGGGUCUAGACUUCCCUCUAGCCAAACCUGGACCCAACCCAGACCACGGUGCUAAAGUUAUCCGGGCCGACCCCCAAGGACGCAGACGGCACUGCUCAGAAACUUUCCUUGCCCCGCCUUCCCUCCCCACCUCUACGUCUGCUUCCUCUUCUUCUACUGCCUCCCUCUUUCCAGAACACGCCCAAGCUGUCGCCCUCCGGCUGGGUUUUGAAAGCAUGCUGUGGGGGAAUGGUGCUGUGACUGAUAAUCCCACUCAGUUCGCCCUCCCUGGACAGCAGUCCCUUCCCACAAACACUCAGACUUCGUCCACAGAGCAAGGCCUUAAUUACAUAGACUUGGACUUGGCCAACAAAGAGGGCCAACAUUUGGGCCAAGAUGGACCUUCAGGUAGCCAGGCCCCCUCUCGCCUCUUCUCUGUACUGGGUGGAGGUUCUGGGGUUGGGGGAGUGGUAGUGGGAGUGGGCGCAGCAGUCGGCGGCAGCAGCAGCAGCUCAACACUCAACACUUACGCCAGCAUCGAUUUCUACAAAUCAGAGGAGCUACGAACGCAUCAGAAUGGAAACAAGGAGGGUACAGGAAAACGUUCCUUGCUUCCCUCAGCAUGUAGGUCAGAGGUCAGGGUUGGCUUCAGAGCUCUGCACCCUUGGAGCUGGAAGGAAUUUGCUAUCUUGCACAAAGACGUCUCUGCAGGUUGGAGCCCUGAAGAGAAAUCUCUCAACCCACAUGCUUUUACCUGAAUGCAACACAGAUUGAUGCAUCCAAGAAGUAGCACAUUUUCUGCCUCGGGGCAUAUGAAGUGCUUGUGAGUGCUGAUGUCAUUGAGUCAUCCUUUGGGAAACAAUCUGGUGCCACUCAGAGAACUUCAAAGCUUCGCCUGUUCCUUUUGUGACAACCAAUCACAUGGACAGAGCAACUGGAUCGGACACGCCCCUGACGCACUUUGACAGACUGAUGGAAACUUUUUUUCUUCUUUUUUUUUCGCUUUCAAAUCGUUGGUUGUGGAAACCAACUUGGAUGCGUGCCAAAUGACAUUCUUGAAAAGCUAUUUGCUGCUCUCAUUCCUUGAGUGAAAGCCAAUCAGAGAAGGGUACAAAAAAUGGACACUGGUGUUUUGAUUUUUGAUUAUUUUUCCAAGACAAAAAUUCUAAUCAUUAAGAGUAUAAUGGUCACUAUUUAGUGUAUGAAAAAGAAAAUUAAUAGAAUUAUAGAUCUGCUCAAAAAGUGCCUCAUUUUCAGAUUGUAGCCAUUUUACAAAGAACUUCAACUUAGCCUGACUUACUGAAACUUUGGGUUCAGUUUGUGUGUUCUUGAUGUAGAUAUAGAUAAAAGGGGGUGGGGGGUGGGGGGUAGCACUGGUAUGAGCUUUUGCUGCGUUCAUGUCAUAUGGGAUGAGACCGUUAUUUAAAACCUUACGAGCAACAGUUGGAUGUGAUUACAGUGUUAGUCGUGUGAGGGUUAAAAAUACUGUGCAUGGUCAAUAUAACACCUGUGAAAUGUACUCCUGUGCCAUUGAGCUCCAAAUCGGAUAGAGAGUUUAACAUUCGAUGUUGACGUGAAUAUUUACAAGUCGGAAAAUGGAAAUCACAAUAAAUCCGAUAUGACAUGAAUGCAGCAUUUUCGCUAUUGAUAAUGGUACUAGCCAAUCUGCUGGCCUUCCCGUCUACUGUGAGAAAUAUUAGCGUAGCCUGUGUUAGCGACACGUUCAGCUCAUUAUAACCUGCGCUGCUUUUAUUCUGUCUUUUUCUCUUUCUGUUAACUUUUUAACAAAGCCAUACACCUAAAGUAUUAAAGACACAGGCUUGACACAAAAGGCACUAGGUAGCAGGGGAUGCAGUAGUUUGCUAGUUAGCUAAAGCCAGCUAGGUCAGAUUAACAUAUUAACAUCGUGCCAGAACGUAAAUACAGCGUCAGGUCCUGCUGACCACAGCUCAGGGUGAGAGCCCUAAUACAGAGCAAGGCAAUCCCAUUAGUGCUAUUAGCUCCAGACACUAGUGUCUCGUUAAAUCCACUUUGUCUCAGGAUGCUUAUUAACAUUAGGUACGUACAGCUGAGGAUAGAAGCCCUAUCAAUAGCUAUGCUAAUGCUAGCUUUGUCGUGGUUAGCACACUGCUUUAUUAAACACCGGAAAAGGGGGUCAGUUCUUAUUUCAAUUCUGUCGGUAUGAAAUAAUAAAUGUAAGUGCUAAUUUGUUCUCAGUUAUUUUAUACAUUAAGGUACCAAACAUUUUAAGAUUUUACACUUUAAACAUUUUAAACUGGUUGAAUUGAAAGUGCUUUGACCCUGAAUGCCUCUUUAAGACUCUGUCUCCCCCCUCCCUCCUUUCUGUCUUUCGCUUAGCUCUUACUUUAAUCUCCGCUAUGCAUCAGCACUUAAGUGCCUGUCUGUCCUUUUUAUCUGUCUGUCUCUCUGCCCCGUUUUAGCAGCUAGCACUAAUAGGGCUGUCCUCGCAGAAUAUAUUAGUCUAUUUUUGUGUCUAUUUUUUAGCUGUACAGUUCUCAUGAAAUAACUUGUGUAUGUUUGUUCGGUGUGACAAUGAUCUAUCAGAUGACUUGACUGACAGCCAUGGCCCUAAUCGGAGGAGUUUGGACUGUUUCUCUUUGCCGGUAAUGGAGGACUUAAUUGUCGCAGGGCCGUCAGUGCCAAAACACAACAAAAAAAAAAAAAAAAAAAAAAAAUGACUAAGCUCCAACAGCACCUCAAGAAGCAACCUUCAGCUCUCAUGCCUGGACGUAUUGCUUUGUUUUGUUUUAAAAAUUUAACCUUUUGUGUUCCCCGUUGUUUUCUUUGGCAGCGGGGGGGGGGAGAACUGUGACAUAUCUGGCCUGCUUAUGUGACUCUUGGAGAUAAAGGUCAUUGUGAGGACUUGCGUACGCUUUAACCUUGAAUUUGUCUACAACUUUGACCAGAGGAUUAAAAAGAAAUGCAUGAUGAGAAAGAAAAGGCCACCACGAUAAAAACAAAAAGUCAAAAUACAUGUGCAUCUAUGUAGCUCCAACAUUGUA